UACAGAGGGUGCGAGCGUUAAUCGGAAUUACUGGGCGUAAAGCGCGCGCAGGCGGUCUUCCAAGUCAGUGGUGAAAGCCCGGAGCUCAACUCCGGAACUGCCAUUGAAACUGUGAGACUUGAGGAUGAGAGAGGUGAGUGGAAUUCCCAGUGUAGAGGUGAAAUUCGGAGAUAUUGGGAAGAACACCAGUGGCGAAGGCGGCUCACUGGCUCGUAUCUGACGCUCAGGCGCGACAGCGUGGGGAUCAAACAGG
rnacentral:rRNA from 1 species